GAGUUUGAUCGUGGCUCAGGAUGAGCGCUGGCGGCGUGCCUAACACAUGCAAGUCGAACGGAGUUUAUGAGGAAGAAGCUUCGGCGGAAUUCUUAUAAACUUAGUGGCGGACGGGUGAGUAACACGUGGAGAACCUGCCUCUUACCGGGGGACAGCAGUUGGAAACGACUGAUAAUACCGCAUAAGCGCACGAGACCGCAUGGUCCUGUGUGAAAAGAUUUAUCGGUAAGAGAUGGCUCCGCGUCUGAUUAGCCAGUUGGCGGGGUAACGGCCCACCAAAGCGACGAUCAGUAGCCGGCCUGAGAGGGUGAACGGCCACAUUGGGACUGAGACACGGCCCAGACUCCUACGGGAGGCAGCAGUGGGGGAUAUUGCACAAUGGAGGAAACUCUGAUGCAGCGACGCCGCGUGAGUGAAGAAGUAUUUCGGUAUGUAAAGCUCUAUCAGCAGGGAAGAAAGACUCGAAAGAGGGAUGACGGUACCUGAGUAAGAAGCCCGGCUAACUACCUGCCAG
rnacentral:rRNA from 1 species